CUUUUUCUUUAGAGCUUUUUAAUAUGAGGAUUUUAUCUUGUUCUUUUUUUUUUUUUAGAAUCUGUUCCUCUGUCCUCUCAUUUUGCUUGCUCGCUAUACUGUGUCUCUCUGAAUUCAGGGGAAUGGCGGUUACUUCUGUUGGUCUUGAAGGCUUGUCCUUUUGCAGGUGCGUCUGUUCCCAGACUGCCAGGAAGCGGUGUCACUGGCGGGAGGGCCAGGGCUUUUCUGCCUUGCCCAGGAGCUGGAACAGAAUUUUAGGGUGAGGAAAGAGUUACAUCAAGGAAAGGAAAAGACAAAGGAGGGGGAAAAUGUGGUAUGCUGAAAAAAGUGACAGAAGG
rnacentral:lncRNA from 1 species